GACGAACGCUGGCGGCGUGCUUAACACAUGCAAGUCGAGCGGUAAGGCCCUUUCGGGGGUACACGAGCGGCGAACGGGUGAGUAACACGUGGGUGACCUGCCUCUAGCUCUGGGAUAAGCCUGGGAAGCUAAAGGGUCUAAUACCGGAUAUGACCUCGCGGUGCAUGUUGCGGGGUGGAAAGCCUUGUGCGGCUAGGGAUGGGCCCGCGGCCUAUCAGCUUGUUGGUGGGGUGANGGCCUACCAAGGCGACGACGGGUAGCCGGCCUGAGAGGGCGACCGGCCACACUGGGACUGAGACACGGCCCAGACUCCUACGGGAGGCAGCAGUGGGGAAUCUUGCGCAAUGGGCGAAAGCCUGACGCAGCGACGCCGCGUGAGGGAUGACGGCCU
rnacentral:rRNA from 1 species